CUAAAUUCCUAAUGUGAAUGUGAGCCAUACCAUCAAGCUUCGUAAAUUGGCCGCACCGGCGCAUCGAUUCGCUUCCCAAUUCUCACCAAAGUUCGUCUGCUGGCUAACUGGCGAAUCUAUCGAACAUCGAAGCAUGGUCCAAGUGUCGGUUGGGACUUUAACUCUGUGUUAUAAACUUAUAAUAUAAAACUUUCAGUAAUUGUAAUUUUUUUUCAUGAUGUUCAUUGCAAAAUAACCGUUCGUCGCUUUCCUCUACGCGUGGUUGGAACAAAGAAGUCAAUUAAAGAAAAUGUUGAAGAAAAGCCCUGGCCGGGAUGCCCAGAUUAUGUCGGUACAAACGAGAAUUGAGGAUCGAUGGUUGGUUUCUCCUGCAUUGGAUUUUAAAUCUAUCCAUGCUGAAAAAGAAGUGAGGGAUUCAAGAAGUGUUUAUCUGUGUAUCUUUGUUGGACAAAUGUUAUGCCAUCAUUUCAAUCAAAAACAAGUUUGGCAAACUGGAGGAAAUAAACAAACAAUCCGACAACCUUCCUUGCUUCUAUAGCAUGAGCCACAAGAUUAUUGGCCUCAGUCUUAUUUUAUUUGUACGAGGAACGGCCCAUUGGAGCCGCUCCGACACUGAUUCCAAAAGACAAGAAUUUUUUCUUCCUACGAAGAAAUUCCUAUCGAUCUUACUGCACUUGAAUGGGCAGCACCUGCCUCAACGCAAACGGAUUGACCCUUCAAUUAAAAAGAAACAGAUAAUUGUUUCUUUUAUAUCGUGGACGCCCUCGUUGACGCCCGCAUCUACCUAAGCAACGUCUUCCUAUAUCACACGAACGUGGGCGGUCUACCGGCCGUAAAUAGUGAAACUGGCUGUAGGAUGUGGCACGGAUUAGAACUUCUCGGCUUCGGAUGCUUUAACAACUGAAGGAAAUGGCAGUUUUUUCCAGCUUGGUAUCAAAGUGACUGGCGUUCCGAUGAAUGAAACGCGGGCCAACGAUACUGCUACGAUCAACUUUUCAUCACACAGUCUGGCAAUUUCAUCGUGGAAGAUUCAGAAGAUAAACCUGCCAGCUUUUUGGACAGGUUCACUUCAUUAUUCGCCCUAUUGAUUUACAUGGGGAUUCACCAUUCCACUAGUCUGUUAUGAAAUAACAGUUACAAACGACAAAAUCUUCUCGAAACAUUCCGGCGUUCAUAAGGUCAGGAAAUCCCCUUUGCUUUUUUCUUUGAAUUUUUUCCAAUGUCAAGCCUCACACACGUGAUGAAAUUGGCGCAGAGGUUCUCUGUCUCGUUUGUUAAUUACUUUUUACAAAGAGUUAACAGUGACUGUGAAAUUCAUAGUGAAUGCGCCAUCCUGCUUUGUAAGAUAGGCCGUAAAUUCCCUAUUUUGUCCUUGCAUAUUUCAUUCGGAUGUGGAAAGCCAUCAGUUUCCUGUUGUAGCUUCGCCUUCAUUCAACAGGGACACUUUCAUUUCAAAAAAGAUCGGAGGCAUACUGUUUUUAGCUACGUACUGUUUUUGAAUUUUCAGAUCGAUAACAUUCGGUCUGAAAUCAUCGGACUAAACGACAUAUGACCGACAGACCACUUGCCUAAAGAAAGGGAAUUAUUGCGAGCAGAACAGGAUUUGACAUUCGUUUUCUAACCAAUGAACAACUGGAUGCGUAAAGCUUCCUACCGAAUCAGCACCAUUUUGAUUAUCGUUGCUUUAUUUUUCAUCCACUUUGAGGAGUCCUCGAUGGAGAACGAAAUCCGCAUUUAACCUCACCUAGCUGCCUUUAGCCAUUUAAAGAUAGCUCAAAUUUCUUGAUCUUGUUUGCCAAUUAAAACAGUCUUCAUAGCUCAGUGGUAGAGCGUCGGUCUCGUAGAUAAGUUGAAGGAAAGGAAAACCGGAUGUCGAGAGUUCAAUCCUCUCUGAAGGCUUACUAAAGAAUAUUUUCAAAUUUCGUACUUGAAUUAAAGACAGUUUUAAGUACCGUUCAGACUAACGCUCGUUGUUACGUAUUACGUAACAAUUUGAUAUCAUUUUUUGACCGAAUGGUCCAUAAACAAAAAUUUCAUCCUGCUGAAGAGUGUGUGUUUUUUUUUUAAUUUAUUUGGCUGAUCCGAAUCAUGCGAUACUUCGUAUAACGUACUACGUAGAGCGUCAUUAAAAUUUUGAUUGAUUAUCAUCCCUAAAUUUUAUGGCCCUAUAAUUUAAUUCCAUCUAAAAAUACCCGUAUAACAACUAGCCACACUCUCUCCUACCAGCAUAAGGAUUUUUCACACUAUUUUUUCAAUCUUGUUGCUCCAGCUCCGUGAUGAACCUCAGAUCGGUGCCUUCCAAAUUCUUCCGCAUCCACUCGUCGAUUCGCUCGUUCAAUUCGGAAGAGAAAUGAUUCUUCCAGUCUCCGGUUUUACCUGAGAUUUUUAUACGAGACGUAAUUAUUUGAUGAACGUCUGUGAAUGAAUGAACCGAAGAAUUUCUUUUUACCUUUGCGGAUGAAAUGGCCGCUGAUAUUCAUCAAUCCUAUCUCUUUGCCGAUAUUUUCCAAUCCAGCAACCUCUUGCUUUUCACAGUUGACCAUUUUGUUUUUGGCGAAAUUGUCGAAGCGCAGAUGCUCCGUCAGCUUUGUUAAUUGAUCGUCGCUCAGCUUCUUUCCGAGAAACUGACUGAUCUUGACAAUUUCUCCUCGGAGAUCCUAACCGUAGAUAACAUUUCCACAUUAACGGCUAACGCAAAAUUAUUUUUAAAAUUUUAAAAUUUACCCGCUUGAGAUCCUCGUAAAAGACAAAGUGCAAGUUGGGAUGGUGCCGCUUGUUCCAGGCGUCCAGCAAGUGAGGAAAGAACGGAGCACUGUAAACUAUCCUUUCCAUAAGAUGAGAGCGAUCGAAUUCCACAAGCCGAAAUAAAUCGAAAUUAUUGGUUUUGGUUUUGGAGCUGGUGACAGUUAAUCGUACCUCUAUCCGUCAUGAAAUACUCGGCGAAAGUUUCCAGGUUGCUAACGUACUGAUGAAAUUGCAGCAGCUGAUGGAAGUGAUAAUAAGAGACGAUGACGUCUUUGGGGUUGCGGGCCACGUAAACGACCUAAUACGAGAGUAACAGGAACUGUUAAUGAAAGCUUAAUUGCGGUUAAGUUUGGGAUCUGGGUGUUAUACCUUGCUGGUGCUGAGUACUUGUGGGUUCAACAGAUAGAGUGGCAAGUGACUUUUGAUGAUCCUCGGGCCGGCCAUUUGAUCGAUUUGUUCCAGAUCGCGAAGGCAGUCGCCCAAUACUAAGCUGAUGGCUUUCCUGGUAAUAGGUAGAGCUAGUUCAUCAAGUUCCAGUAGCAGCAAUUCCAAUCACGUUUUUUUUUUGCAUUUUAAUUCAAACUUUGAUUUUUCCCGCUUUUGUGUCACCACUGGGAACUCACCUGCAAAUCUCUUCCAUUUCGAAUGUCUCCGCCAGUUUGAUUGGCAACAUGUAGUUCAUCCUUAGCAAAUAGGAGAGAGGAAAAGGGUAUUGAAUAUAGUGUGAAUUGUACUGGAACUGGUGUAAGCAAUUGCUGACGUAUGACUCACUCCAGAAAUGGCGAGCGGAUGCUCAGCUGCUCCUUCUUGCCUUUCUCGAAAUCACAGUCGUUGACGACCAUCCACACUAAUUCCUGCACCCACGUAGUCCCUAAGAUUUUGAUGGGAAAAUCGAACAUUUUUGUCUCGGGUUAAAAAAAAAAAUUCAAAAAGAAACAAGUUGAAAGCGAGAUGCAAGUCCGGCCCUUACCGCACUUUGGGAAAGUUGAAAUGUAAACGUCGUCCGGCCUGGGACUGAGAUUGUAAACAUCUUCGGCUUUUUUGGCAAAUUCCGGAGUGGUGACGUAUUGGUGAGGGAAGGAUUUGACCAGUCCGUCGAUGUAAGGCGGGAAAUCAUUGCGAAAUUGGGAGCCCAACGUUUCGGGCAUCAAUUCGAAUUUUUCCUUGAGAGGAAGACGUUGGUUAUCAACACCCGACAUGUUGGCCGAUCGAUGAGUUACUGAAGUCCAAACGACGAAAAAAAUAGAAUUAUGAAUUAUAUCUCCCCUCUCUCUCUCUCCCGAAUCUGCUGCUAGCCAUUCUUCUGAGUAUCUAUACACUCAUGUAGGCCAGAGGCCAGGCGCAUAAAAAGAAGAAAAAAAAAACAUUCGACCAAUCACCACAAGCCACGAAGCCCUCCUAGGUUGGCCGAAAGUAAAAACCAGAUAGAGUGCAGCGAUCUUUGACCUACUUUCCAUCUCUUGUCAUAAUCUGGUCAUCUUGUUAUUCACCUGAAUACUCGCCGAAAGGGAUCACAAAUUAGGGAUAUUUCAAACGAGAUUUUGGGGAAGAACUGAGCCAAGAGAGCCAACAGCACAACAGCAGCAUAGGGGAGGGUUGGUCCUGGUUGGUCUAGUUUUUUUAAAAUAUUCUCCCCCAUCCUAACAUCAGUACCCUUUAAAUAUCUUUUAGACUAAAAACGAUAGAGUAAAAAUUGUUUGAACUUGAAUUAAAACCAAACACGAAAAAAAUACUUCAAAAAAGAUUAGUUUAUUAGCUUGCUGUUACAUCCUUUCACAUUUUUUUAAACCUUCCUUAGCGAUCUGAGGCGCUUGGCUGGCCAUUUAAUAAAAUUUGUAACAUUAGAAUUUAUAAGGUGCCGUCAAGCUAUUUACAAUUUGCUAUUUGCAGCACUGGUUCAUUCCCACUUUCACGAAAGUUCGUCUGUAUUGCAUGAUGCACCUUCCACGGCGGUGACGUUGCAAAAUUAGCAUAGUGCUUUAUAAAUGUUUUAUCAUCAAUUUUAUUGUUCGGUUGUAAUUGUGUUCGUUCGUGCGAAGUUUUCUGUUAUUUCUCGAUUUCACAAUAGUAGUACCCUCAGUUAAUUCUUAAUCUCUAUGCUGAAAGCAAAGUAUGGAGUGUUUUGAACACUUGCAUUAGUGUCAGGGUGUCAGUCUAUGCUAAGAAAGGAUUGGUGGAUGUAAGCAAAUUUUCUUCUGUAGUUCUCUGUCGCAACAGUAACUGGUAAGCUUUAGUAAUGCAGUGUGACACCCCUGCCUACAAAGAAUCCAGUUGUGAAGUACAAGUGAAUUGAAAAAUUCAAUAUUAGCCUACCUACAUGAACUGCUGAAGCUAGGCAUAAUGUUAUUGCCUGAAAUAAUAGGAAUUCUACACGUGUAUCACAGACCACAGUUCCAGGUAGGAAUUCAGUGAUGAAAAACAAGUACCUGAUUGCAGUGAACAAAAUGUUCAGUUUCACAUUUAGCAAAAUAUCAGCAUUGAAAAUGUCAAAAUGUUCAUUUUGUUGUGUACAGCAAUAUUUUUGUUUGUAGGAAGGCGAACCCCAAGGUUCAUUUGAAGAUUUCCUGUGGGUGUGGACGAAAAGAAAAAAAAUUUUUAACAGUACUUGCGCAACGAAUCUAAACGGCAACUACUGGAUGUUUAUAAAUAUGGCAACUUCCGAUUUUGAAGAGGACAAGCUGUAUUUGGAUUGGAUAUUGAAACUGUUAUCAUUUACUGGGCAUUGGGCAUUGAUGGGAAACCUGUUGUUUGAAACGCUGCCGAGGAUAUUAAAACUCCGGUUUCAGUAAAAUAUCUGAGUGGAGCGCGUUGGAUGAUUUCAUCGACAUCUUUGACCCCAUUUUAGUGAGUGUGUUAUUAAAUUUGGUUUCCAGCUGCCGCUAUCGUUGCUUGUCCUGAAGAAGGGCCGGAGAAGUGACAAAGAUUGAUGUUGACAGUAUCAAACGAGAUCAUAUUGAGCUCUUGCCAAUACCCACUAGGAUUGUGAGAUUAAGGGUGCUGUAAGUGCAAAUAUGAUAGUUUACUACUACGGACGAUCAAACCAGUUGACUAUCCGCUUGCAGCAGUAUUUCGCAGUCACCUACCAUGUUCAUGAAGGGCAAAGUCGGAAAGUAGGUGGAGACAGUCAUCAGGAUGAUGCCGACGACCAGUGUGAUUUUGACCGGUACGGGAUUGGAUUUGUCACCAAGUUAUGUCUAGUCCUUUCUUGAAGGGGUGUUACCACUGCAUUGAUCAUUACGGCUCCAAACGAACCAGAGAUCGGUCGUAUAGUUCAGUGUUGGAAGAAAGAGUUUUAAAAGCUAUUUUAGAUUUUGCCAAUAAAGCUAAGUGGGCUUUAUAUCGUAGGCGCCCACGUCUCCCUACACGAACGUGGGCGGCCUACCGGCCGCAAGUGGUUAAACUGGCUGUAGGAUUCGACCUGGAUUGGAACUUCAUUUCGACUUCGGAUGCUGUAAAAAACUGAAGAACAAACUUGAGUUAACGAUACUGCAGUGAUAAACUUAAUCAUACAGACUGGCAUUUUCAUGGUGGAAGAUUGAUUUGACAUUUCGUUUUCUAACCAAUGAACAACUGGAUGCGUAAAGCUACCUACCGAAUCAGCGACAUUAUCCGCUUUGAGGAUGUUAGAACGAAAUCCACAUUCAACCUAACACGGCUGCCUUGAGCCAUUUUAAAAAAGGUAGUUCAACUUACUGCCGACUUUCAACAGUUGAAACGGAGGACCUUUCUUGUCAUUGAAAAUAUAUUAGGGUUCAACCUGACGCCGGUUGAGACUGGUUUGGGUCUCACAAUCCACUGGACUCGUCAGACUAUCCCGUUGCCUGCAUGCUGAUACACUUUGGAUCCGGCGUCAAGUACCGAAUACUCGACGAAUCGUGUAAUAAUUUAGAGCAAACAUUUUGAGGCAUGCCUCGUUCGACGUUUCAGCGCAUCCUACUUCCCACUUAAAUUUAUGUGAACAGGUGUCUUUGCGCCAAAAAUAGCCAUGGACCAAACUGCUCUUCCUAGCGCACGAUCAGCCUUGCCUACGAUGCCCCACGGGUUGACUUGAUAAGAUUCACGCCAACCCAGUGUUUUCCCAUUGAAAUCCCAGCUGACGAUCCGUUUUACCACAAGUUCAAUCAACUUGGCAUGAACUUUGCCCUAACCACGCCUGAUGGCAACUGUCCUUGAAACGGUUCGAAAUGGAAGAUUUAUUCAUUCACCGAAGAAACGAGUCAAAUAACUCAAAUGUCAAUUGACCCAUCCCCAGCAACGUCAACCUGCAGAAGGAAAGGCCAGUUGCCAUGUACAAUUGAAGGUCACGGAGAUCAUUACGUAAAAGGUGUCAGGCAUUGGUGUAGAGGUUGAUGGGUGAGAACGGGACGUUUUGCUUCAUUAUCAAAAAGACCCAUCCCCAGCAACGUCUACCUGCAGAAGGAAAGGUU